rnacentral:rRNA from 1 species
UCAGGAUAACGCUGGCGGCGUGCCUAAUACAUGCAAGUCGAACGAACUUCCGUUAAUUGAUUAUGAGGUGCUUGCACUGAAUGAGAUUUUAACACGAAGUGAGUGGCGGACGGGUGAGUAACACGUGGGUAACCUGCCCAGAAGCAGGGGAUAACACCUGGAAACAGAUGCUAAUACCGUAUAACAGAGAAAACCGCCUGGUUUUCUUUUAAAAGAUGGCUCUGCUAUCACUUCUGGAUGGACCCGCGGCGCAUUAGCUAGUUGGUGAGGUAACGGCUCACCAAGGCGAUGAUGCGUAGCCGACCUGAGAGGGUAAUCGGCCACAUUGGGACUGAGACACGGCCCAGACUCCUACGGGAGGCAGCAGUAGGGAAUCUUCCACAAUGGACGCAAGUCUGAUGGAGCAACGCCGCGUGAGUGAAGAAGGGUUUCGGCUCGUAAAGCUCUGUUGUUAAAGAAGAACGUGGGUGAGAGUAACUGUUCACCCAGUGACGGUAUUUAACCAGAAAGCCACGGCUAACUACGUGCCAGCAGCCGCGGUAAUACGUAGGUGGCAAGCGUUAUCCGGAUUUAUUGGGCGUAAAGCGAGCGCAGGCGGUCUUUUAAGUCUAAUGUGAAAGCCUUCGGCUCAACCGAAGAAGUGCAUUGGAAACUGGGAGACUUGAGUGCAGAAGAGGACAGUGGAACUCCAUGUGUAGCGGUGAAAUGCGUAGAUAUAUGGAAGAACACCAGUGGCGAAGGCGGCUGUCUGGUCUGUAACUGACGCUGAGGCUCGAAAGCAUGGGUAGCGAACAGGAUUAGAUACCCUGGUAGUCCAUGCCGUAAACGAUGAUUACUAAGUGUUGGAGGGUUUCCGCCCUUCAGUGCUGCAGCUAACGCAUUAAGUAAUCCGCCUGGGGAGUACGACCGCAAGGUUGAAACUCAAAAGAAUUGACGGGGGCCCGCACAAGCGGUGGAGCAUGUGGUUUAAUUCGAAGCUACGCGAAGAACCUUACCAGGUCUUGACAUCUUCUGCCAACCUAAGAGAUUAGGCGUUCCCUUCGGGGACAGAAUGACAGGUGGUGCAUGGUUGUCGUCAGCUCGUGUCGUGAGAUGUUGGGUUAAGUCCCGCAACGAGCGCAACCCUUAUUACUAGUUGCCAGCAUUCAGUUGGGCACUCUAGUGAGACUGCCGGUGACAACCGGAGGAAGUGGGGACGACGUCAAUCAUCAUGCCCCUUAUGACCUGGGCUACACACGUGCUACAAUGGAUGGUACAACGAGUCGCGAAACCGCGAGGUUUAGCUAAUCUCUUAAACCAUUCUCAGUUCGGACUGUAGGCUGCCACUCGCCUACACGAAGUCGGAAUCGCUAGUAAUCGCGGA